rnacentral:misc_RNA from 1 species
GUGAAUCAUCAAAUUUUUGAACGCAAAUUGCACUCUCUUCUGAGAGUAUGCCUGUGUGAGGUUGAGCCUAAAAAAAAUCGACAUCGUUGCUGUUUCGCGGUGGCGUUCGUCGGGAAUUGGGUGAUCUUAAAUCUUUGGUGUAUGCGACGUAAAAUUUUCGUUACGAUUCGAUGAACGUUUCCAAGAUUUAUUUCUGUACACGUUGAAGGUAUCGAUUUUAUUAGGCGUGGUC